GGAUGGUACAAAGGGCUCCNAAACCGCGAGGUCGANCCAAUCCCAUAAAACCAUUCUCAGUUCGGAUUGUAGNCUNCAACUCGCCUACAUGAAGCUGGAAUCGCUAGUAAUCGUGGAUCAGCAUGCCACGGUGAAUACGUUCCCGGGUCUUGUACACACCGCCCGUCACACCACGAAAGUUUGUAACACCCAAAGUCGGUGGGGUAACCGUAAGGAGCCAGCCGCCUAAGGUGGGACAGAUGAUUGGGGUGAAGUCGUAACAAGGUAACC
rnacentral:rRNA from 1 species